CUGAAAUCCAGCCACACCGUUGGGAAGGAGGAAGACAAGAGAAGAAAUGCCAGGCUUUCCAGAACACGCCAGCAGGAGGGAGGCUGGGAGUGGCUGCAGAGGCAGCUGCACCGGGCACAGUUGGCAGGCCUGGCUCCUGGCAGCUGUGCAGAAAGGAGCUGUCUCCCUUCGUCGUGUGGGCUGCAGCAGAACCAUGAGGUGUGGGAUGGCAGGCGCGAGCGGCAGGCCCGCCAGCUGCCUGGAAGCGACUCCUCAGGCAUGAUGACUGUCUGAGAAGCUAGUCCUAGAAGCUAGACAGAAGAUGACUGUCCCUGCUAGCGGAGUGACUCCCUGCCUUCAGUCAAAAGCCUCUUUGUGGACUGCGGAUGAAAUGACACUCCCCACAGGGACCAGCCCAACCAUUUGUUUUGGCUGCAUUCAAAGCCACGCUUUUGGUGGCCAGGGCCUAAUUCUCCACCCUGGUGUGACUCAGAGGCCCAGAGAGGAAACCAGCAGUUUUGAGGGAGAGGACACCAGAGUCCUGGCUGCCUCCAGAUGUGUCCUGAGAGGACCAGUGUUUACCACUGUAUUUACCAAAGGCACGAAACUCGGCACAACCGGGGUCUGUGACCAUGACCAUGACCCCCAUGGCAGUCCCUCUUUUGCACCUAUUUAAAAACCAUCCACCACGGUAUUUGUGGAGCCUCGGCUACAUCCAGGACCUGACUAAGUGCCCAUUGCACACGGUAGAGAUAAGGUGGCUACGGCUCUGUCCUGACGUCCUUCAUGCUGCCCUGCUGGUGUCACCCAGGCUGGCUGUUAAGGACCUGAAGAAGCAGAAAUCAGUGUUUCUCAUGACGUGCAGUUCCACCUGUGUUGGUGUGGGAGCCUGGAAGAUGGUUCUGCUGCUCUCUAAGAGAACCUGGGUUUUCCCCGGAUCCCACACGGUGGCUCACAGGCAUCUGUAACGUCAGGUCCUGGGGAGCUGUCACCUCUUAGUGGCCUCCAUAGCACCAGACAUAUAUCCAGGCAAAACAUCCAUGCACAUUGGAUGUACCUGGUGCCCGGCCACAGAUUCUCCCAACUCCACAAGAAAGUCACAGCAGCUGAAAGCAGAGUCGGUGAGGCCAACAACAUGCCUGCUUUGCAAGUAAGAGGGCCUGGAUCUCUGCCCACAGCCCACGUAAAAUACCAGGCACGGCAGCCGCAUCUGCUUGCAGGUGGAGACAGCAGGACCCUGGAGCUGGCAGUCCAGUCAAGCUAGCCGGAGCCGUGAGCUGUGGACAAAGAUGAGGAAGACACCUGAAUGAUACAGGCCUCUGGCCUACACAUGCAAGAGCAAGAACACCUAAACACAUGUGCACACGGGUACACAAGCACUUACAUAUGUACGCAAGCACACACAUGCAUGCACAUGCGUACUCACAGGGCCACACAUAAACACACACAUGUACACGCAGGCAUGCGCACACAUGAGGACACACACGGGCACACGUGCUAAAGGGUGAUGUCCUCGUGGCAUUUCUGUUGCAUAGGCAGGGAAGCCCCCAGGGUGGUUUAAGAUAUGCAGGUCUUAGGCUAACACUAAGGCGCUUUUGGAUUCCAGGGACUU